CAGAGACCUAUAGUGUUGUUACAGUACUGAUUUUUUAGGAAACCAUGUGAAAAGGAACUUGGCUUUGGUCUUUGGUCCAAGGAGCUUUCUGUUCUCUCGGAGUCUACAAAAUGCUGAGCAAUGAACAUAUGGCUGUUACUAUCAGCACUGGUGUAUUUGCAGCGAUGCCUAUCAACAUCCACCAGAGAGCAGGGCAGCUCCAAAACCCACAUCUUUCAUGCUGUGGAAAUUGAUGGAGACAGCAACACAGCCAGCUUCUUGGCCAAACAACAUGGAAUGCAGUUCAUUUCAAAGAUGUGAAAGGCAGAAGUAGAAUAAGUAAAACAAUUUGUUCAAGAUCCACAUAGGAAGUCUGUGGCCCAGUGAGAAAUGGAAAAUACAUUUCUGAAUUUUCAGUUCCGUGCUCUAGCUGUAACAAAUUAUCCUGAGAGAGAAAAUGUAAAGAGCUUAUGAAGAAGAGGCAACACAUUGUAUGUUCCUCAACAGCCAUUAUGGUCUACCCUAUUCAUGAGAAAGAAUCACUGAAGGGCUCUGAGGAAAACUGCAUCCAGUUUUCUGUUGGAAGAAUAAUGAUGACAGCCUUCCUCGUGUGACACCCUUAGCAUAUAAAUAUUAAAACCAUCACAAGCUGCUAUAAUAAUCAUGCUAAUUGAAAAACAACCAAACACCCAACACUACAACAAAUAAACAAUGAGGCAUUGGACA
rnacentral:lncRNA from 1 species